GCGGUGACGGGCGCUGACGCGCUUGGCGGCGGCAGGCGAGGGGGACCGGCGGCCCCCGGGCUGCGGCUCCGGGCGGCGGGCCCCGCUCCGCGGCGGCGGCAGGCUUGAUGCAGUGGAGAGUCUUGCGGGACAAUGUGGGGGCAGUGUCGGAGCUGCAUUCUGUAGCUCACUAAGGCAUCCCAUCCCUCUGCAUCCCCUUUGGACCAGCAACCCCACCAGCACCCCGUGCGGCUGCCGCCAAACAGACCUGCAGGACAAAGACGCCUGAUGGGUUUUUAAUGAGCGCGACGCCCUCCACGACACCAGCAUAGUUCUGCUUUGCGUCCUGACGCUGCUCCGGCCCGCGCUACCCGGGACUCGCGCUAUUAAUGGGGGAAUCCGCGGGUGGCGUGUCGGCAUUGCGCAAGGGAGGAAUAAAACAAAACCCGCUUCA